AGGAGAAGUCGUAACAAGGUUUCCGUAGGUGAACCUGCGGAAGGAUCAUUGUCGAAAAUUGCCAAGCAGAGCGACCCGCGGACAUGUUGAAACAAAUCGUCGGGGGCACGGCGUCUAACGUGGCACGGUGCCCUCGACCGCCGGCCGAGCCCGCACCUUGCGGCCUGCUCCAGGAGCGGCAACGGGGGUGCGGGGCAAGGCUUGGCACAAGAAUGAACCCCGGCGCGGAUCGCGCCAAGGAACGGUAACAUAGCGUGCGCUGCCUUGCCGCCGGAUGCCCGGCGAGCGAGGUGGCGACCUGUCGUAUCUGAACGACUCUCGGCAACGGAUAUCUCGGCUCUCGCAUCGAUGAAGAACGUAGCGAAAUGCGAUACUUGGUGUGAAUUGCAGAAUCCCGUGAACCAUCGAGUCUUUGAACGCAAGUUGCGCCCGAAGCCUCUAGGCUGAGGGCACGUCUGCCUGGGCGUCACGCAUAGCGUCGCCCGCGACCAAGCCACCGCGUCUCUGCAUGCUAGGUUGGGGCGGAGAGUGGCCUUCCGUGCGCCGUUGUGCGGCUGGCCUAAAAUCGGAGCUCGGCGACUGCGCCACGACGUCCGGUGGUCGACAAGGCGAAGGCCAAGGUUGCAUCGCGUCGCGCUCGGCACGUCGCCCGUGAAGCUCGCACGACCCCGCCGCGCCGUCCUUUCGGCACCAACGCAGCGACCC
rnacentral:rRNA from 1 species